ACCAGACUCCUACGGGAGGCAGCAGUGGGGAAUAUUGCACAAUGGGGGAAACCCUGAUGCAGCGACGCCGCGUGAGUGAAGAAGUAUUUCGGUAUGUAAAGCUCUAUCAGCAGGGAAGAAAAUGACGGUACCUGAUUAAGAAGCCCCGGCUAACUACGUGCCAGCAGCCGCGGUAAUACGUAGGGGGCAAGCGUUAUCCGGAUUUACUGGGUGUAAAGGGAGCGUAGACGGUGAUGCAAGUCAGAAGUGAAAGCCCGGGGCUCAACUCCGGGACUGCUUUUGAAACUGUGUGACUGGAGUGCAGGAGAGGUAAGCGGAAUUCCUGGUGUAGCGGUGAAAUGCGUAGAUAUCAGGAGGAACACCAGUGGCGAAGGCGGCUUACUGGACUGUAACUGACGUUGAGGCUCGAAAGCGUGGGGAGCAAACAGGAUUAGAUACCCGCGUAC
rnacentral:rRNA from 1 species